GACGAACGCUGGCGGCGUGCUUAACACAUGCAAGUCGAACGGAAGGGCCCUGCUUUUGUGCGGUGCUCGAGUGGCGAACGGGUGCGUAACACGUGCGUAUCCUGCCCUUGCCUUUCGGAUAACUUCAAGACACCGGGGCUAAUACCGGAUAGGAGCGCCUGCUGUAUGGUGGGGGUUGGAAAGUUUCGGCGGUUGGGGAUGGACUCGCGGCUUAUCAGCGUGUUGGUGGGGGAGUGGCUUACCAAGGCUUUGGCGGGUAGCCGGCCUGAGAGGGUGACCGGGCAACUGGGCACUGAGAUACGGGCGAGAGUAGUGCGGGAGGCAGCAGUGGGGACUAUUGCACAAUGGGCGGAAGCCGGAUGCAGGAACGCCGCGUGCGGGAUGACGACCUUCGGGUAGGAAACGGCAUACGGCUGUGACGAUGCGUGAGUGACGGUACCGGAUAAAGAAGCACCGGCUAAUUACGUG
rnacentral:rRNA from 1 species